AGCGGGGUGGGCUAGCCUGGUAAGGCCGCGGGGCUCAUAUACUCUUUAAAGCACGCGUUGGGAAACCCCGAGGUCCCUGGUUCAAAUCCAGGCCCCGCUA
rnacentral:tRNA from 1 species